rnacentral:rRNA from 1 species
UACAGGGGGGGCAAGCGUUGUUCGGAAUUACUGGGCGUAAAGGGUCUGUAGGUGGCUUGCUAAGUCAGACGUGAAAUCCCUCAGCUUAACUGGGGAACUGCGUCUGAUACUGGCAAGCUUGAGUGCAGGAGAGGAACGCGGAAUUCCAGGUGUAGCGGUGAAAUGCGUAGAUAUCUGGAGGAACACCGGUGGCGAAGGCGGGUCUCUGGGCAGUAACUGACGCUGAGGAGCGAAAGCGUGGGGAGCGAACAGG